rnacentral:rRNA from 1 species
UACGGGGGGGGCAAGCGUUGUUCGGAAUUACUGGGCGUAAAGGGCGCGUAGGUGGCCUUUUGAGUCAGACGUGAAAUCCCCCGGCUUAACCUGGGAACUGCGUCUGAUACUGGAAGGCUUGAGUUCGGGAGAGGGAUGUGGAAUUCCAGGUGUAGCGGUGAAAUGCGUAGAUAUCUGGAGGAACACCGGUGGCGAAGGCGGCAUCCUGGACCGAAACUGACACUGAGGCGCGAAAGCCAGGGGAGCAAACGGG